rnacentral:rRNA from 1 species
AGUGAACGCUGGCAGUAGGCCUAACACAUGCAAGUCGAACGGCAGCACAGUAAGAGCUUGCUCUUACGGGUGGCGAGUGGCGGACGGGUGAGGAAUACAUCGGAAUCUACUUUUUCGUGGGGGAUAACGUAGGGAAACUUACGCUAAUACCGCAUACGACCUACGGGUGAAAGCAGGGGAUCUUCGGACCUUGCGCGAUUGAAUGAGCCGAUGUCGGAUUAGCUAGUUGGCGGGGUAAAGGCCCACCAAGGCGACGAUCCGUAGCUGGUCUGAGAGGAUGAUCAGCCACACUGGAACUGAGACACGGUCCAGACUCCUACGGGAGGCAGCAGUGGGGAAUAUUGGACAAUGGGCGCUAGCCUGAUCCAGCCAUACCGCGUGGGUGAAGAAGGCCUUCGGGUUGUAAAGCCCUUUUGUUGGGAAAGAAAAGCAGCAGGUUAAUACCCCGCUGUUCUGACGGUACCCAAAGAAUAAGCACCGGCUAACUUCGUG